GGGUGUUUGGUCUAGUGG
rnacentral:siRNA from 1 species